GCGAACGCUGGCGGCGUGCCUAACACAUGCAAGUCGAACGUGAAAAGGGAAACCUGAGUAAAGUGGCGUACGGGUGAGUAACGCGUAGGUAAUCUACCCCAGAAUCUGGAAUAACCUGCCGAAAGGCGGGCUAAUACUGGAUAGAGCGAGGGAACUCGUAAGAGAGUUUUUCGGGAAAGGGAGCCCGCAAGGGCCUUCGUUCUGGGAUGAGCCUGCGUCUCAUUAGCUAGUUGGUAAGGUAACGGCUUACCAAGGCGAUGAUGAGUAGCUGGUCUGAGAGGAUGCUCAGCCACACUGGAACUGAAACACGGUCCAGACUCCUACGGGAGGCAGCAGUGGGGAAUCUUGCGCAAUGGACGAAAGUCUGACGCAGCCACGCCGCGUGAGUGAAGAAGGCCUUCGGGUUGUAAAGCUCUGUCGGAUGGGACGAACAUCUUCAUAGUGAAUAGCUAUGAGGACUGACGGUACCAUCAAAGGAAGCACCGGCUAACUCCGUG
rnacentral:rRNA from 1 species